rnacentral:rRNA from 1 species
AUGCUUAGGGCUAUUUUGAAGAAUAAUAAGAAAAUGUGGGAAGAAUGCUUGCCUCAUAUUGAAUUUGCUUAUAAUUGUUCAUUGCAUUCUACUACUAAGAUGUGCCCUUUUGAAAUUGUGUAUGGGUUCCUACCUCGUGCACCUAUUGAUUUGUUGCCUCUUCCAUCUUCGGAGAAGCUUGAUUUUGAAGCUAAAGAACGUGCUGAAUUGAUUUUAAAAAUGCAUGAGUCAACAAAGGAAAACAUUGAGCAUAUGAAUGCUAAACAUAAACUUGCUGGAGAUAAGGGUAGAAAACAUGUUGUGUUUGCACCUGGAGAUCUAAUUUGGUUACAUUUGCGUAAGGAUAGAUUUCCUAAUUUGUGCAAAUCAAAACUAAUGCCAUGUGAUGAUGGUCCUUUUAAGGUGUUAGAGAAAAUAAAUGAUAAUGCAUAUAAACUUGAGCUGCCUGCAGAUUUUGGGGUUAGUCCCACUUUUAACAUUGUAGAUUUGAAGCCUUAUUUGGGUGAGGAAGAUGAGCUUCCAUCGAGGACGACUUCAUUUCAAGAAGGGGAGGAUGAUGAGGACAUCAAUACCAUUGUUACACCCACAGCCCCUGCUGAUAUACAUACUUGA